UGUGUCUGUGAGGGUGUUAAUUAUUGCCCAGGAUGGUCUCAACCUGUGAGGGUGUUGCCAAAGGAAACUAACAUUUGAUUCAGUGGGAUAGGAAAGGCAGACCUACCUUUAAUCAGGUGGGCACCAUCUAAUCAGCUGCAAGCCAAUAUGUAGUGGGCAGAAAAAUUUAAAGCAAUGAGAGGGGCCUAACCUCUCAGCUUACAUCUUUCUCCCAUGCUGGCUGUUUCCUGCCUUCGAACAUGGGACUCCAAGUUAUUCAGUUUUGGGAUUCAGACUGGCUCUCCUUUCUCCUCAGCUUUCAGACAGUCUAUUUUGGGGCCUUUUAUUUAAGAAUGCAUGCUGGUUGGAAAUGACUAUAUGUGAGAAAAAAAUUUUAAAAAGACAAAAAAGAAAGGAAGAAAAAGAAGAAUGGAUGCUGGGCCUGGCAUGGUGGCCCAUGCCUGUAAUAUCAGCACUUUUGGAAGCCAUGACAGGGAGAACUAACAGCUUCACCAACCCCAGUAGUGGCAACAUCCCCUCCCAGACUUUCCACCUUUAUCUGAGGAGAUAAACCCUGCUCUGCCUAAAGCAACAGUGAUGACCUCCCCUGAGGCAGUUCCCAGGUCCUUGAGGAAUCACCACACUGUCUUCCAUAAUGGCUGAACUAAUUUACACUCCCACCAACAGUGUAAAGUGUUCCUAUUUCUCCACAUCCUCUCCAGCAUCUGUUGUCUCCAGGUUUUUUAAUGAUCACCAUUCUAACUGGCGUGAGAUGGUAUCUCAAUGUAGUUUUGAUUUGCAUUUCUCUAAUGACCAGUGAUAAUGAGCAUUUUUUCAUAUGUUUGUUGGCCUCAUGUAUGUCUUCUUUUGUAAAGUGUCUGUUCAUAUUCUUCAUCCAUUUUUGAAUGGGCUUGUUUUUUUCUUGUAAAUCUGUUUUAGUUCUUUGUAGAUUCUGGAUGUUAGUCCUUUGUCAGACGUGUAGAUUGCAAAAUUUUUUUUCCAUUCUGUUGGUUGCCGAUUCACUCUCAUGACUGUUUCUUUCCCCAUGCUUUUAAUUUGUACCAACUCCACAGAAGCUGUGGAGUUGCAAGUGUUUUAAACCUUUGAUAUUUGACAAACAUUCCAAAAUCAAAUUAUAAAUUAUAUCCUUUUUGACCUAAUUAAUCCUUUACGAUUUUAAAUUCCCUAAGGUUUAAAAAUGAUACAUUUAGUUAAUCUGUUAUACAAAUUACAUAGGAAGCAUUGUCAAAUAUGAAAUGUUAUUUGGCUUUCUUUGAGCUGUAUUUGUAUAAAUAUGUUAUUGGUAUGUGUUCCAAAAUAAUGGGAAAUUCCUAUAAUUCUGAUAUGACUUACUGGAUAUCAGUAAUAAUUAUAAUUAUAAUAUUAAAUUAUUGUGUGCCACAGAGGUAACAAAUUUCCUCAGCAAUAGUGCCUUUGACUGUGGCUGCCCUAAACCUUUUUGUCAUCCAUAUAUAAUUGUUGUCUUGUUUUGGUCCUCUUUAGAAGGUGGUUUUAUAAACAGCUCCAAAACUCUAACAAGUGCUCUUAAAUGUAUGUUUCUGAUAACUUUGGAGAUUGUAACAUCAGAAUAGAGAAAAAACUUUCAGGACUUAUGGAUAGCUGACAUGUUCAUAAAUAUCAAGUAAAACAUGAAUUAACUGCAUGUAUGGAAAUAAUAGAAGACUGAAGUAAUCUUUUUGACCUUUUACUUAAAAUGCUUCUGAUUCUUUAUUUUGUUUUUCAGAGUCAAGGAAACUUUUCUUUUAUCCUAUUUACAGCUUUUAACAAUUAAGUAAAGUAGACUUCUGUGAACAAAAGUUGGAGCAUAUUUGUUUCUGUCUACCUGAUUUCUCUAGAACUUAGAAACUAUUUGUGAUUAGUCUUAACUUAUAGCAAUGUAGUUAGGUUCAUAAGUAAAAUGAGUCUGUUUUCAUUUGUAACAAGACACGACUGGAGAAACUGCUUAUUUUACCAAGGCUUUGCAUGAAAUGAUGUGUUUUCCUUUAAGAAAUCCAACUCGACUUAUACAGCCAAUAAAAGCCCUGUG
rnacentral:lncRNA from 13 species